rnacentral:rRNA from 1 species
GCAAGAAUGAAACUCAAAGGAAUUGACGGGGGCCCGCACAAGCGGAGGAACAUGUGGUUUAAUUCGAUGAUACGCGAGGAACCUUACCUGGACUUAAAUGUAGCGUGACCGUACUCGAAAGGGUAUUUCUCUUCGGAGCAGGUUACAAGGUGCUGCAUGGCUGUCGUCAGCUCGUGCCGUGAGGUGUCGGGUUAAGUCCCAUAACGAGCGCAACCCCUAUUGUUAGUUGCUAACAGGUCAAGCUGAGGACUCUAGCGAGACUGCCACCGUAAGGUGAGAGGAAGGUGGGGAUGACGUCAAGUCAGCACGGCCCUUACGUCCAGGGCUACACACGUGUUACAAUGGUCGGUACAGAGAGCAGCUACUUGGUGACAAGAUGCGAAUCUUUUAAAGCCGGUCUUAGUUCGGAUCGAAGUCUGCAACUCGACUUCGUGAAGUUGGAUUCGCUAGUAAUCGCAUAUCAGCCACGAUGCGGUGAAUACGUUCCCGGGCCUUGUACACACCGCCCGUCAAGCCAUGGAAGCUGGGGGUACCUGAAGUCCGUAACCGUAAGGAUCGGCCUAGGGUAAAACUGGUAACUGGGGCUAAGUCGUAACAAGGUA